AGUGUGCACCUCAGAGGUUCUUCCAGCUUGCCAGAAAAAAUGGGCGGCUUCCUCGACGCGUCAAGGCAACAGCCAGUGUACACCUCAGAGGUUCUUCCAGCUUGCCAGAAAAAAUGGGCGGCUUCCUCGACGCGUCAAGGCAACAGCCAGUGUACACCUCAGAGGUUCUUCCAGCUUGCCAG